CUGGGGCUGUAGCCGGUCCCAAGGGUAUGGCUGUUCGCCAUUUAAAGUGGUACGUGAGCUGGGUUUAAAACGUCGUGAGACAGUUUGGUCCCUAUCUGCAGUGGGCGUUGGAAGUUUGAGGGGGGCUGCUCCUAGUACGAGAGGACCGGAGUGGACGAACCUCUGGUGUACCGGUUAUCACGCCAGUGGUAUCGCCGGGUAGCUAUGUUCGGGAGAGAUAACCGCUGAAAGCAUCUAAGCGGGAAACUUGCCUCAAGAUGAGACUUCCCAGGGACUUGAUCCCUCUAAAGGUUCGUUGAAGACCACAACGUUGAUAGGUCGGGUGUGGAAGCGCAGUAAUGCGUUAAGCUAACCGAUACUAAUUGACCGUGAGGCUUGAUCCU
rnacentral:ncRNA from 1 species